AAGCGGAAAACUAACUGUCAGUUUUCUUCGUCAAUUCUUCUUCCACCUAGCUGUCAAAACGGGCUUAUAACUUGACCUGAUAUCUUUACGGUCUUUGGCUUUACUACUUGGAUUAGCCGAGGCUCGGUAUUCUAUCUGUCAUUCGCCAUUCUGUUAAUCUCGUGCUAAUGAAACGAAAACCUUUCGGAGUGAUGUUGUGAUCCCAAGUGCCACAAAUCCACUAAACGACCACUAAACGGCUUCAAAACGACUCAAGUUCUCUACCUAAACGGAAUAUAGAAAGACUUCGUUUAGCAGACGGCAAACGACUCAUGCAUUCUAAAAUUAGCAAAAAAGCUGGUGGCGCUCUCUGUUGGUGGGAUACCCCAACCAGUUGAGAUUCAACGCUUGGAGGAGAGCUUUCUCAUUUCCUCUGUACUGUUGUAUGGUUUCGCAUUGAAGUUAUGCAUCGCUAGAACUAGAACGGCGAUACGAUUGUUUAAAUACUAAACUCCAACGGAAACCACCAGCACUGAAGCAAGUGAGAUUUGAGUAAUGGUCGUUGGUGUUUUUGAUACCCACGUAUCUGACCACACGACCAUUCAUAUAGUUUUUUGCUCAGAAAGUUAGAAGGCUAUAUAGGUCAUGAUAAGAUGAAACUUGUCGAAACACAUUGCAAGAAAAGAAUAGCAAUAUAAUGAUGAGUUGUAAUACGCCAUCUAUUGAUCAAACCAAUGAAGCUGUGGAGCUUUCAUUUUUUUCUAUGGAUAUUCAAUUUUCCAGUCGUUUAAGCUGAAUCUGUGGCGCUUGGGAUGUAAAAUAAAAAAUGUAAAAAAAGUGAAAAUGAGUCUCUCAGCGUGAAAAAAACGAGAAUCAGUAGCGUGCGCUCGAGCACAGGUAUGGAGCGGGGUUGGGGCUAGGAAACUCCAUCAACGCACGCAACCGGUGCUCUUCAGAGCGUCGCUCGGAGCAGUCCCUAUUUAAGGAUCAGAUGUGGAAGCUAAUCCGGUUGGUUCAACCUUUGCCAGACCGUUCAGACUUCCAGGAUUCAUUUCCGGUCACCUACACGAGUGUCCGCUCCUUGUCCGGCUCAUUUUCCUGUACCGGUACCACAUCCAAACGCUGUGCCCCAUCCGGCGGUUGAAUCGGCGAAUGUCCCAACGCUUUCCAUCACAUCAAAAAAACCCAUUUGAUACGCAAAUAAAAUCACUAAAAUAAAAAUAAAA